rnacentral:rRNA from 2 species
AACAGCGGAGAGUUUGAUCCUGGCUCAGGAUGAACGCUAGCGACAGGCUUAACACAUGCAAGUCGAGGGGCAGCGGUGGUGAAGGCUUGCCUUCACCAGCCGGCGACCGGCGCACGGGUGAGUAACACGUAUGCAACCUGCCUGCCACAGCCGGAUAAUCGGGAGAAAUCCCGUCUAAUACGGCAUAAUGCAUCGACGGGACAUCCUGUUGGUGCCAAAGGUUAAUUCCGGUGGCGGAUGGGCAUGCGUCGCAUUAGUUAGUUGGCGGUGUAACGGACCACCAAGACGACGAUGCGUAGGGGUUCUGAGAGGAAGGUCCCCCACACUGGUACUGAGACACGGACCAGACUCCUACGGGAGGCAGCAGUGAGGAAUAUUGGUCAAUGGGCGGGAGCCUGAACCAGCCAAGUCGCGUGAGGGAUGACGGCCCUAUGGGUUGUAAACCUCUUUUGCCGGGGAGCAAAGUGCCGCACGUGUGCGGUUUGGAGAGUACCCGGAGAAAAAGCAUCGGCUAACUCCGUGCCAGCAGCCGCGGUAAUACGGAGGAUGCGAGCGUUAUCCGGAUUUAUUGGGUUUAAAGGGUGCGUAGGCGGACGCUUAAGUCAGCGGUAAAAUUGCGGGGCUCAACCUCGUCGAGCCGUUGAAACUGGGUGCCUUGAGUGGGCGAGAAGUACGCGGAAUGCGUGGUGUAGCGGUGAAAUGCAUAGAUAUCACGCAGAACUCCGAUUGCGAAGGCAGCGUACCGGCGCCCAACUGACGCUGAAGCACGAAGGCGUGGGUAUCGAACAGGAUUAGAUACCCUGGUAGUCCACGCAGUAAACGAUGAAUGCUAGUUGUCCGGGGCGAUUGAGUUCUGGGUGACACAGCGAAAGCGUUAAGCAUUCCACCUGGGGAGUACGCCGGCAACGGUGAAACUCAAAGGAAUUGACGGGGGCCCGCACAAGCGGAGGAACAUGUGGUUUAAUUCGAUGAUACGCGAGGAACCUUACCCGGGCUCAAACGCAGGAGGGAUGUUUUUGAAAGGAGGCAGCCAGCAAUGGUCUCCUGCGAGGUGCUGCAUGGUUGUCGUCAGCUCGUGCCGUGAGGUGUCGGCUUAAGUGCCAUAACGAGCGCAACCCCUACCUACAGUUGCCAUCGCGUGAUGGCGGGCACUCUGUGGGGACUGCCUGCGCAAGCAGUGAGGAAGGCGGGGAUGACGUCAAAUCAGCACGGCCCUUACGUCCGGGGCGACACACGUGUUACAAUGGCAGGUACAGCGGGAAGCCACCCGGCGACGGGGCGCGGAACCCGAAAACCUGUCUCAGUUCGGAUUGGAGUCUGCAACCCGACUCCAUGAAGCUGGAUUCGCUAGUAAUCGCGCAUCAGCCACGGCGCGGUGAAUACGUUCCCGGGCCUUGUACACACCGCCCGUCAAGCCAUGGAAGCCGGGGGUGCCUGAAGUGCGUGACCGCAAGGAGCGCCCUAGGGUAAAACCGGUGACUGGGGCUAAGUCGUAACAAGGUAGCCGUACCGGAAGGUGCGGCUGGAACACCUCCUUUCU